rnacentral:lncRNA from 1 species
CCGGCUCAGGAACUGCAAUCGUCCUGGUCUCAGAACCCAAAGUCAUAUUCUGUAGUAAUUCUGUAGUGUCUAUAACAAUUACGGUAAAGGAAAUUCACUUCACAAUCACAGGCAUAAAAAAAAUACACUUGCAAUGAACAACAAAGAGAAAGAAAAAAAAACAAAAAAUUCAAGUAGAUCAACACAAGUAUACUAUAUAGUACAUAGUAAUGCUUCUAUGGAUGGAGUAGACACCAAAUAAUUGGACUCACACAUAAACAACAGUGUUGUCAAAAUAGUGAAUUGCACUGGUAUAGCACCCACUACAGCUGCUAUUUGACAACCCUUUAUACUAAAUUGUGUAUUGCAUAACAGUAACAAUUUGUUCAACUUCG